ACGCUCGACACCUACGGGAGACAGCAGUGGGGAAUAUUGCACAAUGGGGAAACCCUGAUGCAGCGACGCCGCGUGAGCGAAGAAGUAUCUCGGUAUGUAAAGCUCUAUCAGCAGGGAAGAAGAUGACGGUACCUGACUAAGAAGCACCGGCUAAAUACGUGGCAGCAGCCGCGGUAAUCUGAGCGGGCUGGCAAGGC
rnacentral:rRNA from 1 species